rnacentral:rRNA from 1 species
GUCGUAACAAGGUUUCCGUAGGUGAACCUGCGGAAGGAUCAUUAAUGAAAUGUUUGUCGAGAAGGGUUGUAGCUGGCCUCUAGGGGCAUGUGCACACCUGGAUCGCAUCCACCUCCCACACCUGUGCACCGCCUGUAGCUUGGGAUGAUCACGGGGCCCUGGCGGGUCACGAAUGCCCUCGUCUAUGAAUAUUUUUACACACCACAGAGUACGACAGAAUGUAUAUCGAAUUGCGUCUGAUAAACGCGACAAAUACAACUUUCAACAACGGAUCUCUUGGCUCUCGCAUCGAUGAAGAACGCAGCGAAAUGCGAUAAGUAAUGUGAAUUGCAGAAUUCAGUGAAUCAUCGAAUCUUUGAACGCACCUUGCGCUCCUUGGUAUUCCGAGGAGCAUGCCUGUUUGAGUGUCAUGAAAUUCUCAACUGCCCCAAGCUUUGCGGCCUGCGGGUGAAGUUGGACUUGGAGGUCUCUGCUGGCGCAUGUGUGGUGGCUUCGUGCUCCCGCCGUGCUUGUUGGCUCCUCUUGAAUGCAUGAGCUUUCCAAUCCUUUGGCAAAGUAUCGUCGAUGUGAUAAUUAUCUACAUCGCCCGAGAAAGCCGACAAGGGGAAAUCUUUGAUCACGUCGGGGUGACCCGCGUCUGACAAAUUCGACCUCAAAUCAGGUAGGACUA